rnacentral:sRNA from 12 species
CCAACGGUCGCUGAGUUAGAGCUUAACAGCGUAAAUCCGUCGCCUGACAUGUUCGAAGAGG